GCGCCCGUGGCGAAAUUGGUAGACGCAUGAGACUUAAAAUCUCCCGCCUUCGCAGGCAUGCCGGUUCGAUUCCGGCCGGGCGCACCA
rnacentral:tRNA from 1 species